CCUACGGGGGGCAGCAGUGGGGAAUAUUGCACAAUGGGGGAAACCCUGAUGCAGCGACGCCGCGUGGGUGACGAAGUAUUUCGGGAUGUAAAGCCCUAUCAGCAGGGAAGAAGAUGACAGUACCUGACCAAGAAGCCCCGGCUAACAACGUGCCAGCAGCCGCGGUAAUACGUAGGGGGCAAGCGUUAUCCGGAUUUACUGGGUGUAAAGGGAGCGUAGGUGGCGUGGCAAGGCAGCAGGGAAAACCCGGGGCUUAACCCCGCGGAUUGCUUUUGAAACGGUCAGGCUGGAGUGCAGGAGGGGCAGGCGGAAUUCCUGGUGUAGCGGUGAAAUGCGUAGAUAUCAGGAGGAACACCGGUGGCGAAGGCGGCCUGCUGGACUGUAACUGACACUGAGGCUCGAAAGCGUGGGGAGCAAACAGGAUUAGAUACCCCUGUAGUC
rnacentral:rRNA from 1 species